UCUACGGGGGAUGUUGUACAGCUCGCGCUCUUUGCAGGAGACCAUACAAUGAAAUGUGGUGCGUUUUUUUUUCAUUUCGGCGCCAUUUUCGAUUGGACCCGAGCAACAUUUGAGUAAGCCAGCGGAAGAAACCAGCAGAUCUGAAGGGAAUGUACUAUAGCAGCACAUAAAUACUGGAGGUGAAUGUGGUGUUAUCCAGUAUUGCUGUUCUGCUGUAGUAAGACCUGUCAGCACUUACAGACUCCAAAGAGCCACACCAGAUCCUUGGCCGAGAGCGGACUGUACCCCUGCAUGUAUGUGGUGGAAAAACACUACCUGUCUGUACUCUAGAUAAACAAUGCUGUCAAAUAAAAUCAACAGUGAGCUAAA